rnacentral:misc_RNA from 1 species
UAAAGUGCGAUAUCUAAUGUGAUUUGCAUGAAUCUGUGAGUCAUCAAGUCUUUGAACGCAACUUGCACCUCUUGGGUCAACUAAGAGGUAUGUCUGUUUGAGAACCUUAUCCAUCUUGUCUCUAGCUAGAGGCAGAAUUGGGGUCGCAGCUCGCAAGAGGUGGACCUUGAAAUGCAGCAUGGAAAGGGCAUCAGUGACCUUGGCUAUGUGCUAGAGAUCGAUUAAUUGGUCUUGUCAUAGCCUCGGCUACUGAGGCUCGCUCGCUUGUCGAGCACUCUUUCAAUUAGGUCUCAAAUCAGGCAGGAUUACCCGCUGAACUUAA